GAUGAACGCUGACAGAAUGCUUAACACAUGCAAGUCUUUGGCGAAUCUGUGCCUGCACAGGCUAGCCAAGGCGGACGGGUGAGUAACGCGUAAAGAACUUGCCCUGCAGACAGGGAUAACAGACGGAAACGACUGAUAACACCUGAUACAGUUGCCGGCACGCAUGUGCCUGGCAAUGAAAAGAGAUGCUGCAGGAGAGCUUUGCGUCCUAUUAGCUUGUUGGUGAGGUGACGGCUCACCAAGGCGAUGAUAGGUAGCCGGCCUGAGAGGGUGAACGGCCACAAGGGGACUGAGAUACGGCCCUUACGCCUACGGGAGGCAGCAGUGGGGAAUAUUGGACAAUGGGGGCAACCCUGAUCCAGCAAUUCUGUGUGCACGAAGAAGGUUUUCGGAUUGUAAAGUGCUUUCAGCAGGGAAGAAGAAAGUGACGGUACCUGCAGAAGAAGCGACGGCUAAAUACGUG
rnacentral:rRNA from 1 species